UACAGAGGUCUCAAGCGUUGUUCGGAUUCAUUGGGCGUAAAGGGCGCGUAGGCGGCCUGCUAAGUCGAACGUGAAAUCCCCGGGCUCAACCCGGGAACUGCGUCCGAUACUGGGAGGCUUGAAUUCGGGAGAGGGAUGCGGAAUUCCAAGGUGUAGCGGUGAAAUGCGUAGAUAUCUGGAGGAACACCGGUGGCGAAGGCGGCAUCCUGGACCGAAAUUGACGCUGAGGCGCGAAAGCCAGGGGAGCAAACGGG
rnacentral:rRNA from 1 species